ensembl:snRNA U6 U6 spliceosomal RNA
GUGCUCACUUAGGCAGCACAUAUACUAAAAUUGGAAAGAUUCAGAGAAGAUUAGCAUGGUCCCUGCGUAAGGAUGACAUGCAAAUUCGUGAAGCAUUCCAUUAUUUU